UUUUAAAAAAUUUGUUGACUU
rnacentral:piRNA from 1 species